CCUACGGGUGGCAGCAGUGAGGAAUAUUGGUCAAUGGGCGCGAGCCUGAACCAGCCAAGUAGCGUGAAGGAUGACUGCCCUACGGGUUGUAAACUUCUUUUAUAAAGGAAUAAAGUGAGGCACGUGUGCCUUUUUGUAUGUACUUUAUGAAUAAGGAUCGGCUAACUCCGUGCCAGCAGCCGCGGUAAUACGGAGGAUCCGAGUGUUAUCCGGAUUUAUUGGGUUUAAAGGGAGCGUAGGUGGAUUGUUAAGUCAGUUGUGAAAGUUUGCGGCUCAACCGUAAAAUUGCAGUUGAAACUGGCAGUCUUGAGUACAGUAGAGGUGGGCGGAAUGCGCGGUGUAGCGGUGAAAUGCAUAGAUAUCGCGCAGAACUCCGAUUGUGAAGGCAGCGUACCGGCGCCGGACUGACGCUGAGGCACGAAAGCGUGGGUAUCGAACAGGAUUAGAUACCCCAGUAGUC
rnacentral:rRNA from 1 species